rfam:Triticum urartu cultivar G1812 contig1212954, whole genome shotgun sequence.
GUUCAAAAGAGGAAAGGCUUGCGAUGGAUACCUAGGCACCCAGAGACAAGGAAGGGCGUAGCAAGCGACGAAAUGCUUCAGGGAGUUGAAAAUAAGCAUAGAUCCGGAGAUUCCCAAAUAGGUCAACCUUUUAAACUGCCUGCUGAAUCCAUGAGUAGGCAAGAGACAACCUGGCGAACUGAAACAUCUUAGUGGCCAGAGGAAAAGAAAGCAAAAGCGAUUCCCGUAGUUGCGGCGAGCGAAAUGGGAGCAGCCUAAGCCGUGAAAACGGGGUUGUGGGAGAGCAAUACAAGCGUUGUGCUUCUAGGUGAAGCGGUUGAGUGCCGCACCCUUGCUUAUGCUCUGACCCGAGUAGCAUGGGGCACGUGGAAUCCCGUGUGAAUCAGCAAGGACCACCAUGCAAUGCUAAAUACUCCUGGGUGACUGAUAGCGAAGUAGUACCGUGAGGGAAAGGUGAAAAGAACCCCUAGUGUGUAGUGAACUAGAACGUGAAACCGUGCUGAGCUCCCAAGCAAUGGGAGGGGAAAGUGAUCUAUGACCGCGUGCCUGUUGAAGAAUGAGCUGGCGACUCAUAGGCAGUGGCUUGGUUAAGGGAACGAAACCCACAUGAGCCGUAGCGAAAACGAGUCUUAAUAGGGCGAUUGUCACUACUUAUGGACCCGAACCUGGGUGAUCUAUCCAUGACCAGGAUGAAGCUUGGAUGAAACUAAGCAGAGGUCCGAACUGACUGAUGUUGAAGAAUCAGCGGAUGAGUUGUGGUUAGGGGUGAAAUGCCACCCGAACCUAGAGCUAGUUGGUUCUUCCCGAAAUGCGUUGAGGCGCAACAGUUGACUGGACAUCUAGGGGUAAAGCACUGUUUCGGUGCGGGCUGUGCGAGCAGUACCAAAUCGAGGCAUGCUCUGAAUACUAGAUAUGACCCAAAAAUAACAGGGGUUAAGGUCGGCCAGUGAGACGAUGGGGGAUAAGCUUCAUCCUCGAGAGGGAAACAACCCUGAUCACCAGCUAAGGCCCCAAAAUGACCGCUCAGUGAUAAAGGACGUGGGGUGCAAAGACAGCCAGGAGGUUUGCCUAGAAGCAGCCACCCUUUAAAGAGUGCGUAUUAGCUCACUAAUCGAGUGCCCUUGCGCUGAAGAUGAACGGGGCUAAGCGAUCUGCCAAAGCUGUGGGAUGUCAAAAUGCAUCGGUAGGGGAGCGUUCCGCCUUAGAGGGAAGCAACAGCGAAAGCGGGGGUCGACGAAGCGGAAGCGAGAAUGUCGGCUUGAGUAACGAAAACAUUGGUGAGAAUCCAAUGCCCCGAAAACCCAAGGUUUCCUUCACAAGGUUCAUCCAUGGAGGGUGAGUCAGGGAAUAAGAUCAGGCCGAAAGGCAUAGUCGAUGGACAACAGUUCAAUAUUCCUGUACUACCCCUUGUUGGUAGGGAGGGACGGAGGAGGUUAGGUUAGCCGAAAAAUGGUUAUAGGUUUAAGGACACAAGGUGACCCUGCUUUUUCAGGGUAAGAAGGGGUAGAGAAAAUGCCUCGAGCCGAGGUCCGAGUACCAAGUGCUGCAAUGCUAAAGUAUGAGCCCCGUGGACUAGCGAUUUCUUCUCCACGAGGCUCAUACCAGGUGCUACGGCGCUGAAGUAUGUAACUGAUGCCAUACUCCCAGCAAAAGCUCGAACGACCUUCAACAAAAGGGUACCUGUACACAAAACCGACACAGGUGGGUAGGUAGAUAAUACCUAGGGGCGCGAGACAACUCUCUCUAAGGAACUUGGCAAAAUAGCCCCGUAACUUCGGGAGAAGGGGUGCCCCCUCACAAAAGGGGGCUGCGGUGACCAGGCCCGGGCGACAGUUUACCAAAAACAUAGGUCUCUGCAAAGUCGUAAGACCAUGUAUGGGGGCUGGCGCCUGCCCAGUGCCGGAAGGUCAAGCAAGAUGGUGAACUGAUGACAGGGAAGCCGGUGACCGAAGCCCCGGUGAACGAUGGCCGUAACUAUAACAGUCCUAAGGUAGCGAAAUUCCUUGUCGGGUAAGUUCCGAUCUGCACGAAAGGCGUACCGAUCUAGGCACCGUCUCGGAGAGAGGCUCGGUGAAAUAGAAAUGUCUGUGAAGAUGCGUACUACCUGCACUUGGACAGAAAGACCCUAUGAAGCUUUACUGUUCCCUGGGAUUGGCUUUGGGCCUUUCCUGCGCAGCUUAGGUGGAAGGCGAAGAAGGCCCCCUUCUGGGGGGGGAGCCAUCAAUGAGAUACCACUCUAGAAGAGCUCGACUUCUAACCUUGUGUCAAACUCGAGGGCCAAGGGACAGUCUCAGGUAGACAGUUUCUAUGGGGCGUAGGCCUCCCAAAAGGUAACGGAGGUGUGCAAAGGUUUCCUCGGGCCAGAUGGACAUUGGUCUUCGAGUGCAAAGGCAGAAGGGAGCUUGACUGCAAGACUUACCCGUCGAGCAGAGACGAAAGUCGACCUUAGUGAUCCGACGGUGCCGGGUGGAAGGGCCGUCGCUCAAUGGAUAAAAGUUACUCUAGGGAUAACAGGCCGAUCUUCCCCAAGAGUCCACAUCGACGGGAAGGUUUGGCACCUCGAUGUCAGCUCUUCGUCACCUAGAGCUGUAGGAUGUUCCAAGGGUUGGGCUGUUCGCCCAUUAAUGCGGUACGUGAGCUGGGUUCAGAACAUUGUGAGACAGUUCGGUCCAUAUCCGGUGUGGGCAUUAGAGCAUUGAGAGGACCUUUCCCUAGUAUGAGAGGACUGGGAAGGACACACCUCUGGUGUACCAGUUAUUGUGCCUACAGUAAAUGCUGGGUAGCCAAGUGCAGAGAGGAUAACUGCUGAAAGCAUAUAAGUUGUAAGCCCACCCCAAGAUGAGUGCUCUCUCCUCUGACUUCCCUAGAGCCUCUGGUAUCACAGCCUAGACAACAACGGGUUCUCCACCCAUAUGGGGAUGGAGCAACAGAAGUAUGGAAAUAAGAUAAGGUAGCGGCGAGACGAGCCGUUUAAAUAGGUGUCAAGUGGAAGUGCAAUGAUGUAUGCAGCUGAGGCAUCCUAACGAAUGAACGAUUUGAACCU